rnacentral:rRNA from 1 species
AGUGAACGCUGGCGGUAGGCCUAACACAUGCAAGUCGAACGGCAGCACAGUAAGAGCUUGCUCUUACGGGUGGCGAGUGGCGGACGGGUGAGGAAUACAUCGGAAUCUACUUUUUCGUGGGGGAUAACGUAGGGAAACUUACGCUAAUACCGCAUACGACCUACGGGUGAAAGCAGGGGAUCUUCGGACCUUGCGCGAUUGAAUGAGCCGAUGUCGGAUUAGCUAGUUGGCGGGGUAAAGGCCCACCAAGGCGACGAUCCGUAGCUGGUCGGAGAGGAGGAUCGGCCACCCGGGAACGGAGACACGGUCCAGACCCCUACGGGAGGCAGCAGUGGGGAAUAUUGGACAAUGGGCGGAAACCUGAUCCAGCCAUACCGCGUGGGUGAAGGAGGCCUUCGGGUUGUAAAGCCCUUUUGUUGGGAAAGAAAAGCAGCAGGUUAAUACCCCGCGGGUCUGACGGUACCCAAAGAAUAAGCACCGGCUAACUUCGUG